GGCGGGGCGGGCCCGCUGAGCCCCCCGGCACCCGCGGUCGCCCGGAGCCGCGUUGCCCCGCUCCGCAGCCAUCCCGGGGGUGGGGGUAGGGGGUGCGGGUCCGCGCCGGGUCCCUCGCGGGGGCUGCUGAUGCGGGAGGGGGGUGCAAACUUGGGCGGCUCAGUCCCCGGGAAGCGGGGCGAGGGCUUUGCAUGUGCCCGGCUCCGGGGCUUUAGGGGAAACGUGGGGGGCCAGAGCCUGGGGGAGAGGGUUUCCUGCUUUGCGGUUGCCCCCUGCAAUUGAAAAUAACCUUCCGCGGAAGGGGACGCCGGGGAUGGGGGCGGGGAUGGCGGGCAGCACGGGGGGUUGUCUCCAGGUUAAGUUCUCCUUUGUGGGUUGGGGUUCUCCCCCUUCACAAAGAACGCCCCCUUCCCAAAGGUCUGAGCUGGGAAGAGGCUCGCGGGCUGUGGAAAGGGAUGUUUGUCCCCUUCCCGGUUUGCCUCAUCAACAUGACUCUCCUGUGGUUACGUUUUUUCCUUUUUUCUGUUUUGCUUUUGUUUUUUUUUCCAUCUUUUACUUUCUGUCUGCCUCAGUUACUAUAGGGGAAUUUGGAGAAACAGGGGAAGAAUUAGGGAAGUUUGGGGAACAGGCAGGGAAGAAGGUAGGGGUGCUCACCCCUGCCAUGUCUCACCUGACCCUUGGGUCAGGUUUGGGUGCCCCCCCCACCUUCCCGAGGAUGCCCCGGGUCCUGGUACCUUUGUCAUCCCAUCUCUGUAAUGCGAGGCUCCUCUCUGGGGAUGCACGUGGCUUGUACCCUGGCAAGUUUUCCUCUGCGUGUUCACUGCUGCUCCUGGCCCCCGGUCCCGAGUCCACUUUGGGUGGUUUAAUCCCCACUGUCUUGGGCUUUAGCUUCCCUGUAAUGCGAUUUGCCCCUUUGUUUCAGGAGGUCACGUCUGUGUCACACUAUCUUGAUUCUUGGUAAACACAAUAGGCAAAUCUGGACAGCUUUUUCACGCUUUGUGUAGGACUCAGGAGAGAAAAACAGCUUUGGCUCUUUGGAGCUGGUGAUUAGCAUCCAAAAAUACCUCCUUGUCCUGUUUUGUGGUUCAGACUGCCUUUGGAGUGUUGAAAACGUCAUCCCCGGGGGGCUCCAGGGGAAGACUUUCUUUUGGGGGGUAUCAACCAAAUACACCUCAGUUUGUCUCCAGUUUUCAGGCCAGUGGGUUCGGAGUUACUCUCCCACUGGAAGUCAGAAAGAUGAUUUUGCAUUCAGGGUUGGGGGGUGCGGCUGGAGAAUUGGAGAGCAUUUGGAAGGUAGGACUCUGGAAACACCUGUGGAGUGCCGGCUGCCUGUACCAGGUGUAACAGCACCAAGAUUAUCUCUGCAAAGACCCAGAGGGGGAUCUGGUCCAGUGUUGCUGUGAGUUCUGGAGUGUUUGUUUCCUUGUUUAUUUCCUUCUCCCAGGUUACACAGUGGGGGAAAAGUAGGCGACCAUAAAUUAGAUUUUGCAUCGGGAUGUGCUUUAUUGAUGACAACUGGCUGUCGAUGAUUAAUGAGGUUUUCAAAAGCGGGGUAUGUUUCCAGGUGCUCUCUGUGUAUGUAGCUUAAGAAGCUCACCCAGGAAAACCACUUGGGUUUUUUUGGCUUUGGACUAAUUGCUACAGAAAUGAUCAGGUGGUGGUUUUGUUUCAGGACGGUAAUGGCUGGUCUUCACUGGCAGACCCUCCCUCUUCGCCCAGUCUUUGACCUUGCAGAAUUUCCUCUACCUCUUUGCUUCUGGAUUCCUGGAUGCCCCCGUUUUGGGUGGGGGAGGGGGUGUUAGGGGCCUGGAACUAGAGUUGGAGAGCUGGCCACUGCUGCCUGAAAACUUCCAGGUAGCAGGAGAAACCGAAUGGAACAGAAAAAAGGUAGCUUUUGUGUUUUCCAGGGUGGCAUACUCAAGGCCCACCUCCCAGCCAAUUAAACCAUGUGAACUUGGCCAAGCCACUUGACUGUUGUGUGCUCAGGUUCCGCAUCUGUAAAAUGGGGACAGGUUUCAAAAAAAAAAGGGAGGGGGGCUUUUUAGGGUUAUGGUUGUUUGAAGAGAAAAUGAGAUCACCUGGUAAGAGGCCCAGCCUGUGGCCUGAACAGAAUUAAACAGUGCAUUUUAAAAAAUCAUUCUUGCUGAAGAUGAAGCUGUUGGUUUCCAGUUGCUUGUCCUUCCUUUGGACUCACUUUUUCUUCAGUUGGUGGGAAAGGGAUUGGGCUGCUGUCCCUCCCCCCCCCCCCCACGUAUGCCUGGCUUCUCUCUGACCAAGGUCGUGUGUUCAGAAGUUAAAGGGACUGGCCCACGUGAGACUCUUAUCAGAGCUUUGUUCCUGGGCCAGUGCCUGCCUCUGAGCUUCAGGAAAUGUCCAGAAAAACCAGAACGUGGAAGUAGUCCGUGGUGAGGGUUUCACUGUCUUAAUCGCCUUCACGCAGGCAGGUGGUCUGCAGUGAGAGACAAGCAGCUUUGUUCCCCAAAUAGGUGCCAAGUUCAGCAACAUUUGGCUUGUUUUUUCCAUCACCGCUGGCAGGAGGGGGCUGUUUUGUGGUAUUUGUAUUAUGGUUGGGAGAAUGGGCCUGGGCCUCUCCUUUGGUGUUAAGUAUUAAAAAUUACUUAUUAUGCGGGCGCCUGGGUGGCUUAGUGG